ACCAAGGGCUUCCUCUGGGCGCUAGGCCAGGCGCUGCCCUGCAGGUGGGCCUCAGCUUUCUAACCGCCUGUGCCAAGAUCAGGAUCAUCAGGAUGUGCUCAUUGCCGAGCUUCCAGCCAGAUGCUGUUCCAGCCACCCGUUCAGCCAGCGCCCGCUGGCUUUCCUGGGGACAGGAGGCCAUUCUACUGGGCAGUGUGAGCAGCCAGGGACCAGGUGGUUCGUCCGCCAGGACGUUUGACAUUUGAGGAACCUCGGAGUGUAUGUACGUGGCUUGAAGAAUCUCACUGGUGCCUGUGACUUCACACCUGGAAGCCUGAGCGCUGCAGCCCAAAUGCCAGCAAAGAAACAUGGCACCACGCGUGGUUUUCAUAGCUGCCGGGACCUCGACUCCGUGCACUGCCUGGCACCCAACACAGUCUCUCCUUUUUAAUCUCUAUUUCCACCGCUUCCGGGUGUGGCACAGCUGUGAGAUUAAAACCCUGGGCUUCCAAAUCCU